UUAAGCGACUAAGCGUACACGGUGGAUGCCCUGGCAGUCAGAGGCGAUGAAGGACGUGCUAAUCUGCGAUAAGCGUCGGUAAGGUGAUAUGAACCGUUAUAACCGGCGAUUUCCGAAUGGGGAAACCCAGUGUGAUUCGUCACACUAUCAUUAACUGAAUCCAUAGGUUAAUGAGGCGAACCGGGGGAACUGAAACAUCUAAGUACCCCGAGGAAAAGAAAUCAACCGAGAUUCCCCCAGUAGCGGCGAGCGAACGGGGAGCAGCCCAGAGCCUGAAUCAGUGUGUGUGUUAGUGGAAGCGUCUGGAAAGGCGCGCGAUACAGGGUGACAGCCCCGUACACAAAAAUGCACAUACUGUGAGCUCGAUGAGUAGGGCGGGACACGUGGUAUCCUGUCUGAAUAUGGGGGGACCAUCCUCCAAGGCUAAAUACUCCUGACUGACCGAUAGUGAACCAGUACCGUGAGGGAAAGGCGAAAAGAACCCCGGCGAGGGGAGUGAAAAAGAACCUGAAACCGUGUACGUACAAGCAGUGGGAGCACAGAGCAAUCUGUGUGACUGCGUACCUUUUGUAUAAUGGGUCAGCGACUUAUAUUCUGUAGCAAGGUUAACCGAAUAGGGGAGCCGAAGGGAAACCGAGUCUUAACUGGGCGUUAAGUUGCAGGGUAUAGACCCGAAACCCGGUGAUCUAGCCAUGGGCAGGUUGAAGGUUGGGUAACACUAACUGGAGGACCGAACCGACUAAUGUUGAAAAAUUAGCGGAUGACUUGUGGCUGGAGGUGAAAGGCCAAUCAAACCGGGAGAUAGCUGGUUCUCCCCGAAAGCUAUUUAGGUAGCGCCUCGUGAAUUCAUCUCCGGGGGUAGAGCACUGUUUCGGCAAGGGGGUCAUCCCGACUUACCAACCCGAUGCAAACUGCGAAUACCGGAGAAUGUUAUCACGGGAGACACACGGCGGGUGCUAACGUCCGUCGUGAAGAGGGAAACAACCCAGACCGCCAGCUAAGGUCCCAAAGUCAUGGUUAAGUGGGAAACGAUGUGGGAAGGCCCAGACAGCCAGGAUGUUGGCUUAGAAGCAGCCAUCAUUUAAAGAAAGCGUAAUAGCUCACUGGUCGAGUCGGCCUGCGCGGAAGAUGUAACGGGGCUAAACCAUGCACCGAAGCUGCGGCAGCGACGCUUAUGCGUUGUUGGGUAGGGGAGCGUUCUGUAAGCCUGCGAAGGUGUGCUGUGAGGCAUGCUGGAGGUAUCAGAAGUGCGAAUGCUGACAUAAGUAACGAUAAAGCGGGUGAAAAGCCCGCUCGCCGGAAGACCAAGGGUUCCUGUCCAACGUUAAUCGGGGCAGGGUGAGUCGACCCCUAAGGCGAGGCCGAAAGGCGUAGUCGAUGGGAAACAGGUUAAUAUUCCUGUACUUGGUGUUACUGCGAAGGGGGGACGGAGAAGGCUAUGUUGGCCGGGCGACGGUUGUCCCGGUUUAAGCGUGUAGGCUGGUUUUCCAGGCAAAUCCGGAAAAUCAAGGCUGAGGCGUGAUGACGAGGCACUACGGUGCUGAAGCAACAAAUGCCCUGCUUCCAGGAAAAGCCUCUAAGCAUCAGGUAACAUCAAAUCGUACCCCAAACCGACACAGGUGGUCAGGUAGAGAAUACCAAGGCGCUUGAGAGAACUCGGGUGAAGGAACUAGGCAAAAUGGUGCCGUAACUUCGGGAGAAGGCACGCUGAUACGUAGGUGAAGUCCCUCGCGGAUGGAGCUGAAAUCAGUCGAAGAUACCAGCUGGCUGCAACUGUUUAUUAAAAACACAGCACUGUGCAAACACGAAAGUGGACGUAUACGGUGUGACGCCUGCCCGGUGCCGGAAGGUUAAUUGAUGGGGUCAGCGCAAGCGAAGCUCUUGAUCGAAGCCCCGGUAAACGGCGGCCGUAACUAUAACGGUCCUAAGGUAGCGAAAUUCCUUGUCGGGUAAGUUCCGACCUGCACGAAUGGCGUAAUGAUGGCCAGGCUGUCUCCACCCGAGACUCAGUGAAAUUGAACUCGCUGUGAAGAUGCAGUGUACCCGCGGCAAGACGGAAAGACCCCGUGAACCUUUACUAUAGCUUGACACUGAACAUUGAGCCUUGAUGUGUAGGAUAGGUGGGAGGCUUUGAAGUGUGGACGCCAGUCUGCAUGGAGCCGACCUUGAAAUACCACCCUUUAAUGUUUGAUGUUCUAACGUGGACCCGUGAUCCGGGUUGCGGACAGUGUCUGGUGGGUAGUUUGACUGGGGCGGUCUCCUCCUAAAGAGUAACGGAGGAGCACGAAGGUUGGCUAAUCCUGGUCGGACAUCAGGAGGUUAGUGCAAUGGCAUAAGCCAGCUUGACUGCGAGCGUGACGGCGCGAGCAGGUGCGAAAGCAGGUCAUAGUGAUCCGGUGGUUCUGAAUGGAAGGGCCAUCGCUCAACGGAUAAAAGGUACUCCGGGGAUAACAGGCUGAUACCGCCCAAGAGUUCAUAUCGACGGCGGUGUUUGGCACCUCGAUGUCGGCUCAUCACAUCCUGGGGCUGAAGUAGGUCCCAAGGGUAUGGCUGUUCGCCAUUUAAAGUGGUACGCGAGCUGGGUUUAGAACGUCGUGAGACAGUUCGGUCCCUAUCUGCCGUGGGCGCUGGAGAACUGAGGGGGGCUGCUCCUAGUACGAGAGGACCGGAGUGGACGCAUCACUGGUGUUCGGGUUGUCAUGCCAAUGGCACUGCCCGGUAGCUAAAUGCGGAAGAGAUAAGUGCUGAAAGCAUCUAAGCACGAAACUUGCCCCGAGAUGAGUUCUCCCUGACUCCUUGAGAGUCCUGAAGGAACGUUGAAGACGACGACGUUGAUAGGCCGGGUGUGUAAGCGCAGCGAUGCGUUGAGCUAACCGGUACUAAUGAACCGUGAGGCUUAACCUU
rnacentral:rRNA from 1 species